rnacentral:rRNA from 1 species
UACGUAGGCAGCAAGCGUUGUUCGGAGUUACUGGGCGUAAAGGGUGUGUAGGCGGUGACUUAAGUUUGGUGUGAAAUCUCCCGGCUCAACCGGGAGGGUGCGCCGAAUACUGAGUGACUUGGAGUGCGGGAGAGGAGAGUGGAAUUCCUGGUGUAGCGGUGAAAUGCGUAGAUAUCAGGAGGAACACCGGUGGUGUAGACGGCUCUCUGGACCGUAACUGACGCUGAGACACGAAAGCGUGGGUAGCAAACAGG